UGGGGAAUUUUGGACAAUGGGCGAAAGCCUGAUCCAGCCAUUCCGCGUGAGUGAAGAAGGCCUUCGGGUUGUAAAGCUCUUUUGUUAGGGAGGAAAUCCUAGUGGCUAAUAUCCAUUGGGGAUGACAGUACCUAAAGAAUAAGGACCGGCUAACUACGUGCCAGCAGCCGCGGUAAUACGUAGGGUCCAAGCGUUAAUCGGAAUUACUGGGCGUAAAGCGUGCGCAGGCGGCAGAUUAAGCUAGAUGUGAAAUCCCCGAGCUCAACUUGGGAACUGCGUUUAGAACUGGUCAGCUAGAGUACGUCAGAGGGGGGUAGAAUUCCACGUGUAGCAGUGAAAUGCGUAGAGAUGUGGAGGAAUACCGAUGGCGAAGGCAGCCCCCUGGGAUGAUACUGACGCU
rnacentral:rRNA from 1 species